rnacentral:lncRNA from 1 species
GACGUGGUGGACGCACCAGCCCGAGAAAGCGGCCGCCGCCACCAGGGCGAGGUGUUGCUAAAAGCCUCCAGUGAAUGAAUGAACACUUGUGUGCCUGCCCUCAAGGAGCCUGCACUACACUUGGAGAUAUAUACAGAAACCUGUUGAGGGCUAACUUAGGUUGGCAAGGCCCCCAGUGGCCAAGGCAUGAGCCUGGAUGCCCUGCAAAUUGAGUACGUGUUAGGGAUGGGGGCCAUUCUUUAUAGUUUGACUCUGGAGAGCUAGGACCACCUUUCCCAGCCUCAGGGGUGCACAUCCUCAGGAGCUGCCUACCUCCAGAUAUUGUAAGUCCAUGCAGAAGAGGAAGGGCCCAGCUGGGGCACCUCUUGGUUGAGGAAUGAGUAUGUGACAUUUUCAUGUGGGCACAUUUUGAUACUACUUUAAAAAUAGACCAAGCACAGUGGCUCACACCUGUAAUUCCAGCACUUCGGGACGCUGAGAGAGGUGGAUCACCUGAGGUCAGGAGUUCGAGAUCAGCCUGGCCAACAUGGAGAAACCCCGCCUCUACUAAAAAUACAAAACAUUAGCUGGGUGUGGUGGCACACACCUGUAAUUCCAGCUACUCGGGAGGCAGAAGCAGGAGAAUCGCUUGAAUCCAGGAGGCGGAGGUUGCAGUAAGCCGAGAUCACGCCACUACACUCCAGCUUACACUGGACAUGAUGAGGAGGAGGAGGAUGAUGGUGGUGAUUAUGAUAGAAAUGGUGAUGGUGAUGAUGACAAUGGUGAUAGUAGGGAUGGUCUUGCUCUGUCGCAAUCAAUAAAUGAAUGCAUAAACACAUUUCUACUUGUUUUUGCAGUCCUAAGAUAAGUGCUCAGUAGCAUCCCUGCCCUUCUAAUGUGAACUUGAGGGAUGGGUAAGACCCAGAGAUGGCAUGGGGGACGGGAUAAGGAAGGCCUACUGUUCAUAUUGUGAACAUGAAAUGGUUUUACAUUUUGAU